AAAGGGUUAGUCUAACAAAGACCAUUAAUUUCGGCUUAAUAAAUCCUGCCUGGACCCAGGACC
rnacentral:tRNA from 1 species